rnacentral:ncRNA from 2 species
UUACAAUCGCGCAUUCAGGGUGCAUUCACCUUGCUAUGCAUGGAGUGAAUGGUAAACGGGAAACAGAACGCGCAAGAUGGCGCGCCAACCUGUGCUGCCCCCGCAACGGUAAUCAGGCUUUCGGCCUGCAGCCCGACAUCGGCCCUGAACCUGCCGCUGCU